UGAUAAUAAAUAUUUGGUUUGAAAACAGCCUCGACGAUCCAGAAGACUUGCUAAAUUUAAGGCCUAAGCCUGAAAAUUCUUUGAAGUUGGUUCUGAAGCCUAUUCCCAAUUUGCUAAAUUCUUAGUUCUUGGUCGAUCAGGCUCUGAUUAUAGUGGCGGAACGAUGCACUCAUAGGAAGAUCAAAGAUACGGACGAAAAAAUGAGCAGAUAACGAGAGGAAAAUGUUCCUUCUGAGACAAUUUUGAACGCCGGUCAACACCCAUUUUGAUCUAGAAAAUGUUUUCCAACAUCCUCCCCAAUGCUGCGUCCGAGGGAUUCUCUCAGAUUUAAAAUGUCUUUAAUUCGGGCUAUAUAUGGUGGCAUAGCCACCGGAUUCGUCUCCAGUCAGGCGCCGGAAAAAAAAAAGCGUUUAAAACUUUCGAAUUGUUUGCUUUAAUAGUUGCGGAAAUGUCUGUGUCCAUGUACAUGUUCACAAAUUUAUUACAUUUUUCAUUUUGCAGCGACAUCUGUCAGAUAAUAUUAAAAGCUCAGGCUCUCAAGUGCGGUUCGCUCUGCUGGAGUGCUUCAAAGAACACAACACUAUGAACCUGCCGAAUCCUAAUAGAAGUAGAAGAAACGCUGGCAAAGCAAUUGAUUUACGACAACAUGAUGUUGAAGUCUGGUUUUAAAAAAUAAGAGCUCGGUUUUCGCAGCACCGCUUCAAAAGUUCGUAGUCCGCUUCUUUGCACGAAGGCCUUCGGUUGAGUUUGAUCGCUCUCUAAAUCCAUGGCUGGAUGAACGAGCUGCCCAUGUUUGCGAAAUCUUAAUUCAAGUGUUGGCUAGGGUUAAUAAAAUCGUGAAAAGGCGGGGAUUUUUUUGGAGGGUGAUUCAUUUUGUCAUUUUAGAGACGGUAAAUUAGGGUAUUUGUGGCAUAGAAAACUAGACAUAAAUCUUAGAUAAUUUAGGGUAAUGGUGGCAAUUAUGCUUUAUGGUGAAAGCGUAUAAAUAAAUCUUAGGUAAUCUAGGAUAAUGGUGGCAAUUAGGAUCUAUGAUGAAUAAGCCUUAUUUGUAAGGAAGCCACUAAAGAAUGAAGGCAUUGGGUCUUUCUUUCACUUCUGAA